rnacentral:rRNA from 1 species
CCUACGGGUGACAGCAGUGAGGAAUAUUGGUCAAUGGCCGGAAGGCUGAACCAGCCAUGCCGCGUGAAGGUCAGUGCCCUAUGGGCGUUAAACUUCUUUUGUGCGGGAGCAAUAAUGGUCACGUGUGGCCAGACGAGAGUACCGUACGAAUAAGCAUCGGCUAACUCCGUGCCAGCAGCCGCGGUAAUACGGGGGAUGCAAGCGUUAUCCGGAUUUAUUGGGUUUAAAGGGUGCGUAGGCUGUGAGGUAAGUCAGCGGUGAAAUGCCCCCGCUCAACGGGGUGAAGUGCCAUUGAUACUGUCGUGCUGGAAUGCGGAUGCCGUGGGAGGAAUGUGUGGUGUAGCGGUAAAAUGCAUAGAUAUCAAACAGAACACUGAUUGCGAAGGUGUCUCACGAAUCCGCGAUUGACGCUGAUGCACGACAGCGUGGGUAUCAAACAGGAUUAGAUACCCUUGUAGUC